rnacentral:rRNA from 1 species
ACGCUAGCUACAGGCUUAACACAUGCAAGUCGAGGGGAAACGGCAUUAAGUGCUUGCACUUUUUGGACGUCGACCGGCGCACGGGUGAGUAACGCGUAUCCAACCUUCCCAUGACUAAGGGAUAACCUGCCGAAAGGCAGACUAAUACCUUAUGGUCUUCACUGACGGCAUCAGAUGUGAAGUAAAGAUUUAUCGGUCAUGGAUGGGGAUGCGUCUGAUUAGCUUGUUGGCGGGGUAACGGCCCACCAAGGCAACGAUCAGUAGGGGUUCUAAGAGGAAGGUCCCCCACAUUGGAACUGAGACACGGUCCAAACUCCUACGGGAGGCAGCAGUGAGGAAUAUUGGCCAAUGGGCGAGAGCCUGAACCAGCCAAGUAGCGUGCAGGAUGACGGCCCUAUGGGUUGUAAACUGCUUUUGUAUGGGGAUAAAGUCAGUCACGUGUGAUUGUUUGCAGGUACCAUACGAAUAAGGACCGGCUAAUUCCGUGCCAGCAGCCGCGGUAAUACGGAAGGUCCGGGCGUUAUCCGGAUUUAUUGGGUUUAAAGGGAGCGUAGGCUGGAGAUUAAGUGUGUUGUGAAAUGUAGACGCUCAACGUCUGACUUGCAGCGCAUACUGGUUUCCUUGAGUACGCACAACGUUGGCGGAAUUCGUCGUGUAGCGGUGAAAUGCUUAGAUAUGACGAAGAACUCCGAUUGCGAAGGCAGCUGACGGGAGCGCAACUGACGCUGAAGCUCGAAGGUGCGGGUAUCGAACAGGAUUAGAUACCCUGGUAGUCCGCACAGUAAACGAUGGAUGCCCGCUGUUGGCACCUGGUAUCAGCGGCUAAGCGAAAGCAUUAAGCAUCCCACCUGGGGAGUACGCCGGCAACGGUGAAACUCAAAGGAAUUGACGGGGGCCCGCACAAGCGGAGGAACAUGUGG